rnacentral:rRNA from 1 species
UACGGGGGGAGCAAGCGUUGUUCGGAUUUACUGGGCGUAAAGGGCGCGUAGGCGGCAUGGUAAGUUACUUGUGAAAUCUCUGGGCUUAACUCGGAGCGGCCAAGUAAUACUGCCGUGCUAGAGUGUGGAAGGGGCAACUGGAAUUCUCGGUGUAGCGGUGAAAUGCGUAGAUAUCGAGAGGAACACCUGCGGCGAAGGCGGGUUGCUGGGCCAACACUGACGCUGAGGCGCGAAAGCCAGGGGAGCGAACGGG